CACCCGCCCGCCCACCCACCUGACCCCCUGACUCUGUCUGCCGCGUUAACCCCGUCUUUGCCAGAAGUUUGGUCGCCUCACAGAUCGAACCAGAUCGAACCAGAUCGAACCAGAUCUCUCGAGCACUCUUCCGGAUCUGAAAGCCUUACUCUGAGUUGUGUUUAGUAGCGUUUGAACAUCCACUGCUGAGUGUAAUGUCGCCCUGUAGAGAUGGACAGAAGAGCCCGAUGUUGCUAGCUCCCGGCGCUGGAAGCUUUGCCCUGCGACUCGGCCGGCCAAUCGUAGCUCUUUGUUCACAGCUGGGAAUGCCAGGAGUCGCUGUUUUAAAUCUGCGGCCCUGCCCCACCGCUUCCCGCUGCCGUAGAGACAUCUAUUCCACACAUCUGUCAUCUCUUCUCCUUGGUCCGGUCUUUGAUUUAGGGGUACUGUGGGAAACGGAACAUCAGUGUACAAAAGGGUUAUCAGCACUGGUCUCUCUCUGUGUGAUUGGCUCCGCCUCCCCCAGGUGGGGCGGGGUGUCACGGUCAUUAAAACGCAAGCCAAUGACAUUUCAACACCAAAACUAACAGUGCUGUAUUCUGUAUUGCGUCCCUGUGCGUGACUUGUGACAUCAUAAUGGAGGGCCGGUGAGCUGCAAACAGGGGACGCACAUUUAACCCUUUGAAGAGUAGGCUUUUCAGAAUGUUUUUUUUUUUUUUUUCUUUUUCAAAAGUUGUCAGUGUUCUAGAACUGAGUUCUUUUAUUUGCCAGUAGUGAUUGUGACAUCAGCAUUGGAAUGUUCGGUUAAGAACAUUCUAAUUGCGUAUUUGUGAACUUACACCGUUAAAGGGUUAAACCGAUAUCAGUCCUGCAUCUGUGCGUUUCAUCAGCUGAUAAGCUUACCGAUUUUAACGUGGAGCGCCCCUCGUGCAGCUGACUCCUAAUCUAUUUACUUUGUGUCGUCUUAUGAUCCAAAUGUGCACUCCAAAUCAAAUCAUUGUGAUUUUAACAAAUUAAAAAAUGAGUACCUUAAAUAAUGAUAUUUUAUUAAAACAAAGAGACAGAUGUAUAUUUUUUACUUAGAAACCUAUUUUGUUUUUGGUUUUGUUUAGUUUUUUAGUUUUUUUUCAUCAUUUCAACAUCACUAAAAAUGAUUUUGCGUGUAACCAGGGUCGGCAUGGUUACGGUAUCAAAUGAAGUUUUCUCUGUUCCCUGUUUGUGUUUCACAGAACGUCAUUCAGACGCAGGUACCUGUAAUACACUUCUGUUCUUGUGUACCAGUGUUUGUACUGGUAAUAUGCCAAUACUGUGGCUGUCUUAGCUGGCUCACAGUGCCUCACUGUCUCUAGAGGUGAAUCUGCCAAUCACAGUAAACCGGACAGUAUUUGAAAAGGAUUUGCAGGUUUGAUCAGCGGUUGGGAAAUGUUGUCUUUAAACAUAAAUUCAGGAUAAUCAGGAACAAGUUCACCAAAAUAUGAAUUCAGAGAAUUCAACGUUGAAUGUUCUUCCAUUUUAACUUGCAGAAUAGAGGGAGGGUUCUAACAGUCUUCUGACCAUGAGACGUUUUUUGAGAUCUGUUGAAACAUUACUGUACAGUAAUUGGGGUUUGGUUCCAUUGCAUUUUUUUGUUGUCGUCAUUGUUGUUGUUGUUUCUGUUGUGCUUUCUCAAAUGGAGCACAAAUGUUGUUGUGCCGUUGCGGUUCAAAGCUUUUCCAUAAACGAAACCAGUCUUUUACUUCAAAAAAAAAAAAAAGAAGCCCAGUCUGUGUGCUUGACACCAAGCAAAUCUAAGAACGGUAAUUUUCCAAACCUAGUCUAACAAAACUGUCAGCCAAGGGUUUACUGCUUGAUCGUUAUUUGGAUCUGACUGAGGCUCCUAAUCUGUAACAUACUUGUAAACUUCAGAAGGCAGAACCCUCCAGAUGUUUGUUCAGCGUCGAAACCCUUUUCCCGUGCCUCGUCAUCCCCAGUACAAAUUUGUCUUUAAAAGAAGUUGGCACAUAAUAUUACGUAGUAUAAAUGUUAUAAUCUGGUGUAACUUCACUCGUCAUACUCACAUGCCAGUUUAAUAUACAGCUUUUUGUAUUUAAAAAAGAGUGUACUGUGUUCCGAAUGAUCUUUUUUGACGGUUUAAUUUAUUAUAUGUGUAUACGUCGCAUUCCAGAUGUUUUUUCUCAGGAAAAAAAAGGUGUUUUUAGAGAGAAUUUGUGCUUCAGCAUUUGGCAUCUAACAGUUAUCAAGUACUUUGUUAUUAGCAUUUAUCAGAGUUUUAAGUACCUAAAUAAACGUUUGAACUGCCUAAAUGCCUGCUUUGUUGAGGAACCUUUUGGGUUUUUUUUUUUUUUUUUGUUUUGGUUUUUUUUUUCGAAAUGGAACCAUCUGUUGUCUUGGACAGCUUUUGAAAUAAAUACCUUCUAACAAAAUUAA